GAGUUUGAUCCUGGCUCAGGACGAACGCUGGCGGCGUGCUUAACACAUGCAAGUCGAACGGUGAAGCCCAGCUUGCUGGGUGGAUCAGUGGCGAACGGGUGAGUAACACGUGAGCAACCUGCCCUCCACUUCGGGAUAAGCCUUGGAAACGGGGUCUAAUACCGGAUAUGAGCCUGCAUCGCAUGGUGUGGGUUGGAAAGUUUUUCGGUGGGGGAUGGGCUCGCGGCCUAUCAGCUUGUUGGUGGGGUGAUGGCCUACCAAGGCGUCGACGGGUAGCCGGCCUGAGAGGGCGACCGGCCACACUGGGACUGAGACACGGCCCAGACUCCUACGGGAGGCAGCAGUGGGGAAUAUUGCACAAUGGGCGCAAGCCUGAUGCAGCGACGCCGCGUGAGGGAUGACGGCCUUCGGGUUGUAAACCUCUUUCAGCAGGGAAGAAGCGCAAGUGACGGUACCUGCAGAAGAAGCGCCGGCUAACUACGUGCCAGCAGCCGCGGUAAUACGUAGGGCGCAAGCGUUGUCCGGAAUUAUUGGGCGUAAAGAGCUCGUAGGCGGUCUGUCGCGUCUGGUGUGAAAUCCCGAGGCUCAACCUCGGGCUUGCAUCGGGUACGGGCAGACUAGAGUGCGGUAGGGGAGACUGGAAUUCCUGGUGUAGCGGUGGAAUGCGCAGAUAUCAGGAGGAACACCGAUGGCGAAGGCAGGUCUCUGGGCCGCAACUGACGCUGAGGAGCGAAAGCAUGGGGAGCGAACAGGAUUAGAUACCCUGGUAGUCCAUGCCGUAAACGUUGGGCACUAGGUGUGGGGCUCAUUCCACGAGUUCCGUGCCGCAGCUAACGCAUUAAGUGCCCG
rnacentral:rRNA from 1 species